UCAAUGGAUCUGCAGGUUGCAAGGGA
rnacentral:piRNA from 1 species